UGGGCAUGGCUGCUGGACCAGGGGAACAGCUGGGCGCGUCUUGGGCCGCAGGGCUGGAGUGAACGGAGCAGGCCUGUGCUGGGAUGGGAUGCGAGCUAGGCCGGAGCGCGAACUGAGCUGGAGGCGCGAACUGGGCUGCUGCAUCAAUAGGCCACGUGUGCUGUGCGCCAAGUGGGCUCGGGCUGGCAGGUGCUGGGCGCCUCUGCAGAUUGGGCUGCAGCUUGUUGGACCCCUUUUUGCUACUUUUUUUUUUGUUGCUGUUUUUGUUGUUGUUCACGAACUAGGAAUUUUAACGCAAUUCCCUUCGCUAUUUUUUGCAGCUGCUCAAUGACCAUGCCUUCUGAAAGAAAGAGCUAAUCACCAAGCUCACAAGUACUAUUGUACCUGUGGGGCGGUUCUCAAGUUCCCAAAGAGAAGUUUGUGGCCAAUUUGCAUCGUGUCACCACCGAGGCCCAGUUCAAAAC
rnacentral:lncRNA from 1 species